UAGGGAAUCUUCCACAAUGGGCGCAAGCCUGAUGGAGCAACACCGCGUGAGUGAAGAAGGGUUUCGGCUCGUAAAGCUCUGUUGUUGAAGAAGAACACGUAUGASAGCAACUGUUCAUGCGUUGACGGUAUUUAACCAGAAAGUCACGGCUAACUACGUG
rnacentral:rRNA from 1 species